rnacentral:lncRNA from 1 species
GUGAAUGAUUCCAUGAUUGCGAUGCCUGCAGAUCCCAGUGAGGUGCACCAUUCCCCACUCUGUCACUCUGCUGGGGCCUGGGAGGCUGGGAGGGAGAAUUCCAGGUGAGUGUGCCUCCAGCAGAGCCUGAGCUGCCAUGGUGAAGCCAGAACCAGACGUGGUCCUGUGCACACUGAGCUCUUCUCCCUGUGAGUGGCUUAGCCCUGCAGAGCCCUCUGUGCUGACCACACCUGUCCCCUUCAUUCCUGGGCAGGAGGGGCUGAGACUGGGGAUUUUGUGUGGAUCUGGAGCCCCAUUUGGAUCUGGAGCCCCCGUUUGGAUCCUGAGCUCUUUGGAUCUGUAGUUUGGACCUCAAAUUUCUGUGUGGAUCUGGAGCCCCUGUUUGGAUCUAGAGUUUCUGUUUGGAUCAGUAGUUUCUGUGUGGAUCUAGAGCCUCAUUUGGAUCUGGAGCCCCUGUUUGGAUCUGGAGCACCCAGUUGGAUCUGGAGUUUCUGUUUGGAUCUGGACGCCCAUUUGGAUUUAGAGUUUCUGUGUGGGUCUGGAGCCCCUGAUUGGGUCUGGAACUCCCAUCUGGGUCUGGAGCCCCAUUUGGAUCUGGACCCCUGUUUGGAUCUGGAGCCCCUGUCUGGAUCCGGAAACCCUGUUUGGAUCUGGAGUUUCUGUGUGGAUCUGGAGCUCCUGUUUACGUCUGGAACCCCCAUCUGGGUCUGGAGUUUCUUUGUGUAUCUAGAGCCCCUGACUGGAUCUAGAGCCUCAUUUGGAUCUGGAGUCCCUGUUUGGAUCUGGAGCCACCAUUUAAAUCUGGAGCUCCUGUGUGGAUCUGGAACCCCCAUUUGGGUCUGGAGCCCCUGGAUGCACCCCUGCUUGGAGGUGGCUUGUGCUGCUCCCUGGCUGAGCCCAGCCCCAUGGCCAGGAGCCCAGGCAGGUCCCUGCCUGCCCACCCCCAAAUCUGGCUGCAAUUUGUGCUGGCUUGGAGCAGCAGCAGCCCCAGAAUGGGAAACACAGCCCCUUUUCCUCGUGCUUUGCAGGCAGGAAAACCGAGCUGGGGUUUCGCCCUGGAUGCUCCCAGGGCUGCCUGGCUGGGAACAGCUCAUGGGCCAGGAAUGUGGGAUCGCUGCUAUUUUCCCACUUCAAUCCAGAGGAAAAUGGAUCAGCUGCUAAUUAGCAGCAGGGGAACUGGCUGCAGGUUUAUUAGGAUUUUCCCCUUCUCCAGAAGUGCCUGAUUAACAGAGAGGCUUCGAAACGCCCGGAAUUCUUUCAAUCCUGCACAAAGAGCAUGGCCAGUGCCCCGAGGAUGAAUAAAUCAGGGCGAAAGGAUUGUGCA